rnacentral:rRNA from 1 species
AGGACGAACGCUGGCGGCGUGCCUAACACAUGCAAGUCGAGCGGAGCCAAUCGAAAGAUCCCUUCGGGGUGAAUUUUAGCAAGUUUAGUGGCGGACGGGUGAGUAACGCGUGAGCAACCUGCCUUUCAGAGGGGGACAACAGUUGGAAACGACUGCUAAUACCGCAUAAUGUAUCGGAACCGCAUGGCUCUGAUACCAAAGAUUAUAUCGCUGAAAGAUGGGCUCGCGUACGAUUAGAUAGUUGGUGAGGUAACGGCUCACCAAGUCGACGAUCGUUAGCCGGACUGAGAGGUUGAACGGCCACAUUGGGACUGAGACACGGCCCAGACUCCUACGGGAGGCAGCAGUGAGGAAUAUUGGGCAAUGGGCGCAAGCCUGACCCAGCAAUGCCGCGUGAAGGAAGACGGUUUUCGGAUUGUAAACUUCUUUUAAGAGGGACGAUAAUGACGGUACCUCUUGAAUAAGCCACGGCUAACUACGUG